rnacentral:tRNA from 1 species
CAAAAUAGGACUUAUAGGAGUAAUUUCAUUUACAUUGGAAUGUUAAUUCGUGCAAAUCGAAUUAUUUUGA